UACGUAGGGCGCAAGCGUUGUCCGGAAUUACUGGGCGUAAAGGGCUCGUAGGUGGCCAACUAAGUCAUACGUGAAAUCCCUCAGCUUAACUGGGGAACUGCGUCUGAUACUGGAUGGCUUGAGUUUGGGAGAGGGAUGCGGAAUUCCAGGUGUAGCGGUGAAAUGCGUAGAUAUCUGGAGGAACACCGGUGGCGAAGGCGGCAUCCUGGACCAAUACUGACACUGAGGAGCGAAAGCGUGGGGAGCAAACAGG
rnacentral:rRNA from 1 species